AUUGAACGCUGGCGGCAGGCCUAACACAUGCAAGUCGAGCGGUAGAGAGGUGCUUGCAUCUCUUGAGAGCGGCGGACGGGUGAGUAAUGCCUAGGAAUCUGCCUGGUGGUGGGGGAUAACGUUCGGAAACGGACGCUAAUACCGCAUACGUCCUACGGGAGAAAGCGGGGGAUCUUCGGACCUCGCGCCAUUAGAUGAGCCUAGGUCGGAUUAGCUAGUUGGUGAGGUAAUGGCUCACCAAGGCGACGAUCCGUAACUGGUCUGAGAGGAUGAUCAGUCACACUGGAACUGAGACACGGUCCAGACUCCUACGGGAGGCAGCAGUGGGGAAUAUUGGACAAUGGGCGAAAGCCGUGAUCCAGCCAUGCCGCGUGUGUGAAGAAGGUC
rnacentral:rRNA from 1 species